UGUCAUGAGUUGCUUUUGAGAAAAUAAGUCUUCAAGAGAGUUUGGAAAGUCGGCAGAUUUAGCGAGAAAGUCACUAAGUUGGCAACACUGAAUGUAAACACAGGCAAUGCAAACUCACCUGUGAACAGCCCUGUACUGAACUGAACGUCCCGUACCGAAACGGUUCAGUACAAAUACAUGUACCGCUUUGCACUAAGGUUAAUUAU